AGAGUUUGAUCCUGGCUCAGGACGAACGCUGGCGGCGUGCCUAAUACAUGCAAGUCGAGCGGACUGAUGGGAGCUUGCUCCCUGAAGUUAGCGGCGGACGGGUGAGUAACACGUGGGUAACCUGCCUGUAAGAUUGGGAUAACUCCGGGAAACCGGAGCUAAUACCGGAUAAUAUUUUGAACCGCAUGGUUCGAAAUUGAAAGAUGGUUUCGGCUAUCACUUACAGAUGGACCCGCGGCGCAUUAGCUAGUUGGUGAGGUAACGGCUCACCAAGGCAACGAUGCGUAGCCGACCUGAGAGGGUGAUCGGCCACACUGGGACUGAGACACGGCCCAGACUCCUACGGGAGGCAGCAGUAGGGAAUCUUCCGCAAUGGACGAAAGUCUGACGGAGCAACGCCGCGUGAACGAUGAAGGCCUUCGGGUCGUAAAGUUCUGUUGUUAGGGAAGAACAAGUACCAGAGUAACUGCUGGUACCUUGACGGUACCUAACCAGAAAGCCACGGCUAACUACGUGCCAGCAGCCGCGGUAAUACGUAGGUGGCAAGCGUUGUCCGGAAUUAUUGGGCGUAAAGCGCUCGCAGGCGGUUUCUUAAGUCUGAUGUGAAAGCCCACGGCUCAACCGUGGAGGGUCAUUGGAAACUGGGGAACUUGAGUGCAGAAGAGGAGAGUGGAAUUCCACGUGUAGCGGUGAAAUGCGUAGAGAUGUGGAGGAACACCAGUGGCGAAGGCGACUCUCUGGUCUGUAACU
rnacentral:rRNA from 1 species